rnacentral:ribozyme from 1 species
CUUUUUUUUCAUUUUUUCUCUCUUUCUUUCGUCCUAAGGGAAAGAAAACAAGUGUCAGAGAUUGAAAAGAAAGUAAAGAAA